UCCGAAGAAAUUUGGUCUAAUACCCCAUAAUACCGAUGUAGGCAUCUAUGUUGGUUGAAAACUCCGGUGGUGUCAGAUGGGCAUGCGUUGUAUUAGCUAGUUGGUGAGGUAACGGCUCACCAAGGCGACGAUACAUAGGGGGACUGAGAGGUUAACCCCCCACACUGGUACUGAGACACGGACCAGACUCCUACGGGAGGCAGCAGUGAGGAAUAUUGGUCAAUGGGCGCAAGCCUGAACCAGCCAUGCCGCGUGCAGGAAGACGGCUCUAUGAGUUGUAAACUGCUUUUGUACUAGGGUAUUUUGCGGUACGUGUACCGUAUUGAAAGUAUAGUACGAAUAAGGAUCGGCUAACUCCGUGCCAGCAGCCGCGGUAAUACGGAGGAUCCAAGCGUUAUCCGGAUUUAUUGGGUUUAAAGGGUGCGUAGGCGGUCGGAUAAGUUAGAGGUGAAAUCCCGGGGCUCAACUUCGGAAUUGCCUCUGAUACUGUUCGGCUAGAGAGUAGUUGCGGUAGGCGGAAUGUAUGGUGUAGCGGUGAAAUGCUUAGAGAUCAUACAGAACACCGAUUGCGAAGGCAGCUUACCAAGCUACUUCUGACGUUGAGGCACGAAAGCGUGGGGAGCAAGCAGGAUUAGAUACCCUGGUAGU
rnacentral:rRNA from 1 species